rnacentral:rRNA from 1 species
CCUACGGGUGGCUGCAGUGAGGAAUAUUGGUCAAUGGGCGCGACCCUGAACCAGCAAAGUCGCGUGAAGGAUGACUGUCCUACGGGUUGUAAACUUCUUUUAUAAAGGAAUAAAGUGAGGCACGUGUGCCUUAUUGUAUGUCCUUUAUGAAUAAGGCACGGCUAACUCCGUGCCAGCAGCCGCGGUAAUACGGAGGAUCCGAGCGUUAUCCGGAUUUAUUGGGUGUAAAGGGAGCGUAGAUGGGUUAGUAAGUCAGUUGUGAAAGUUUGCGGCUCAACCGUAAAAUUGCAAUUGAUACUGGCAGCCUUGAGUACAGGUGAGGUAGGCGGAAUUCGUGGUGUAGCGGUGAAAUGCGUAGAGAUCACGAAGAACUCCGAUUGCGAAGGCAGCUUACUAAACUGCCACUGACAUUGAUGCUCGAAAGUGUGGGGAUCAAACAGGAUUAGAUACCCGAGUAGUC